UACUCCGACUACAAUGAUUAUUGUAAGCUUCUCAACCUCAUUUUUUCCACUUCAUUCCUCACAGCGACUGCCGUAGUAAAUCAUUACAAUAAUUUGGUGUUUCAUUGCUUUUGUUGGCCAUUUUGGUCGCCAGCUUUGCAAAUGCCUUGCUUGGCACGAAGUGAGAAGCCAUGGCUGUUUCAUGUUUGCAUGCAGCAUAGUAGUCGUCAAGACUACUAGUAGACGUUGCUUCGGAAAAGCAGGAGAUCAGCUCACAGGUGAAAAUGGCGCUCAAUGCCACCUGGUAUUUCGGUUGAAUUCGCAAAAGGCGAAAGGAGACUUAGGACUGGUUCAGUGUGCAGUUGUCGUGAGAACAGGCGACGUGUGGCUGGCCAUCUAUUGUCUACUGACUCAGCCACCCCACUCAGCCCUCCCACCUAGCUGUUCACGGAGAUGGCUUUGCUGGGACGCCAAAGUAGCUUGCUACUUCGUUCUCUCCAAAUGCGCUGAAGAUGAUCAAAAUGUGUACUCUGGCGCGCUAUGCCGCAAACUGAGCUGUUGUGAGUUCAGGCGAGAGACGGUGGCGUAAUUCAAACCGAGCAACAUUGCCAUUGAGGGAGAAGACUGAAUGCAUCGUCUACAGUAGGUGUCUGUAGACUGGGAGUCAGCUGAUGUCAAGUUCAUUGAAUGGUGAACUUAGUCACGUGUUUAAAAAACAAGUAAACUGUAGUGUGUGAUAUGUUUCCGCUAAUUUAUCUCAAGCACGUCUCAUUCUAUUGUAGAAGACCAUUCAUCUUCUACAUUGCGCAAUGUCUUGGACAAAUUCCCGCUGAGGUGCGGCGUUGUAUGAUGGGAAUCAAUGAAGAUUACCCCUAGCUUUUUUUUAACGGUGCAAAACAAGGUAUGUGCAGAGAUUCGUACGCCGGUGGUGAUAAUUCAAUGACUGCAUUUUGACGUGGUGUUGCGACCGCAGCCUUUCACGUGCUAGGGGUACUUGACUGCAGAUAUGCAGUGUAAGUAGACAGAAACAACGAGUUUUAUGUCUUAGAUUGUUAUCACAAUUGCACAGCUUGUUUGAAUUCCAUUCUUGGGAUAAUUCUUGAUCAUGGUCCAUGUAAGUGUGAUUUUACCAACACACGUUUUAGCUUUUUCUUCAUACUAUAUUUAUACGCUCUUGUUCUGUUUUCGAUUUACUGGUUCUGUUUUCGAUUUUCUGGUCCACAUGCCAGUUGGUGAGAUACUGA